AACGCGAAGAACCUUACCAAGGCUUGACAUGUACUGGACCGCUCUAGAGAUAGGGUUUCCCUUCGGGGCUGGUAUACAGGUGGUGCAUGGUUGUCGUCAGCUCGUGUCGUGAGAUGUUGGGUUAAGUCCCGCAACGAGCGCAACCCUCGUUCUAUGUUGCCAGCACGUGAUGGUGGGGACUCAUAGGAGACUGCCGGGGUCAACUCGGAGGAAGGUGGGGAUGACGUCAAAUCAUCAUGCCCCUUAUGUCUUGGGCUUCACGCAUGCUACAAUGGCCGGUACAAAGGGUUGCGAUACUGUGAGGUUGAGCUAAUCCCAAAAAGCCGGUCUCAGUUCGGAUUGGGGUCUGCAACUCGACCCCAUGAAGUCGGAGUCGCUAGUAAUCGCAGAUCAGCAACGCUGCGGUGAAUACGUUCCCGGGUCUUGUACACACCG
rnacentral:rRNA from 1 species